rnacentral:rRNA from 1 species
ACACAGGUGGUCGGGUAGAGAAUACCAAGGCGCUUGAGAGAACUCGGGUGAAGGAACUAGGCAAAAUGGUACCGUAACUUCGGGAGAAGGUACGCUCUUGAUGGUGAAGUCCCUUGCGGAUGGAGCUGACGAGAGUCGCAGAUACCAGGUGGCUGCAACUGUUUAUUAAAAACACAGCACUGUGCAAAAUCGUAAGAUGACGUAUACGGUGUGACGCCUGCCCGGUGCCGGAAGGUUAAUUGAUGGGGUUAGACUUC